UGGGGAAUUUUUGGACAAUGGGGGCAACCCUGAUCCAGCCAUGCCGCGUGAGUGAAGAAGGCCUUCGGGUUGUAAAGCUCUUUCGGCGGGGACGAAACGGUCCGUGCUAACACCACGGUCUACUGACGGUACCCGAAGAAGAAGCACCGGCUAACUACGCGCCAGCAGCCGCGGUAAUACGUAGGGUGCAGGCGUUAAUCGGAAUUACUGGGCGUAAAGCGUGCGUAGGCGGUUUGUUAAGACAGGUGUGAAAUCCCCGGGCUUAACCUGGGAACUGCGCUUGUUACUGGCAGACUUGAGUGUGGCAGAGGGGGGUGGAAUUCCACGUGUAGCAGUGAAAUGCGUAGAGAUGUGGAGGAACACCGAUGGCGAAGGCAGCCCCCUGGGCUAACACUGACGCUGAUGCACGAAAGCGUGGGGAGCAAACAGGAUUAGAUACCCUGGUAAGUCCACGCCCUAAACUAUGUCAACUGGUUGUCGGGGAAGAAAUUCCUUGGUAACGAAGCUAACGCGUGAAGUUGACCGUCCG
rnacentral:rRNA from 1 species